rnacentral:rRNA from 1 species
UGGACUUGACAUCCCGAGAAGAUUUUGGAAACAUAAUUGUGCCCUUCGGGGAAUUCGGUGAC